ACUCCAUGGAAUCUAAGUGGCAAUUUUGUUGCAUGUACAAGCCAGGUGCAAAAUCUUCUUCAACAAAUGAAAUCCAAAGGUGAGGAGACUGACGAGCACACUCUAGCAAUGCUCAAGGUAGAGAAAGAAGAACUAGAAUCACCCCC